UCCCUGGAGGACUAGCGGUUAGGCCCUUGCGCUCUCACCGCCUCAGUCCGGGUUCAAUUCCCAGCCAGGGAG